rnacentral:rRNA from 1 species
GAGCGGCAGCGCGGGGCAACCUGGCGGCGAGCGGCGAACGGGUGAGUAAUGCAUCGGAACAUGUCCAUGUCGUGGGGGAUAGCCCGGCGAAAGCCGGAUUAAUACCGCAUACGCCCGAGAGGGGAAAGUGGGGGACCGCAAGGCCUCACGCGAUUGGGUUGGCCGGUGUCCGAUUAGCUAGUUGGUGGGGUAAAGGCCCACCAAGGCGAUGAUCGGUAGCUGGUCUGAGAGGAUGAUCAGCCACACUGGGACUGAGACACGGCCCAGACUCCUACGGGAGGCAGCAGUGGGGAAUUUUGGACAAUGGGGGCAACCCUGAUCCAGCCAUUCCGCGUGAGUGAAGAAGGCCUUCGGGUUGUAAAGCUCUUUUGUCCGGAACGAAACGGUUUGCGUGAAUAGCGCCGACUACUGACGGUACCGGAAGAAUAAGCACCGGCUAACUACGUGCCAGCAGCCGCGGUAAUACGUAGGGUGCGAGCGUUAAUCGGAAUUACUGGGCGUAAAGCGUGCGCAGGCGGUUUUGUAAGCCAGAUGUGAAAUCCCCGGGCUUAACCUGGGAAUGGCAUUCGGGACUGCAAGGCUUGAGUGCGGCAGAGGAGACUGGAAUUCCUGGUGUAGCAGUGAAAUGCGUAGAUAUCAGGAGGAACACCGAUGGCGAAGGCAGGUCUCUGGGCUGACACUGACGCUCAUGCACGAAAGCGUGGGGAGCAAACAGGAUUAGAUACCCUGGUAGUCCACGCCCUAAACGAUGUCGACUGGUUGUUGGGGGUUUGACACUCUCAGUAACGAAGCUAACGCGUGAAGUC